rnacentral:tRNA from 1 species
GCAGGCAUAGCUCAGCUGGAAGAGCGCGAAGCAGCCAGCGUCGGGGUCGCAAGCUCGAAACUCGCUGUCUGCU